rnacentral:lncRNA from 1 species
CAGGCACAGCUGAAGGCUCACCAGGGUAUCUGAAGGUAGAGAUGGGCAGAGAAGAGACCACAACCAGCAGGGGCCAUGUGGCUGAGAUGACACCCUGGGAGAUCUUCUCUUGGACCGUGGAUGUCACUGAACCAUGCAUCCACAUCCAGUCCUUGAUGCUCUGGGAGCCACACACAGUUUGUGAAGUCACUGCAAAGGAAGAGGUCCUCCCACUCCCCUGGGAACUGAACAAUAGAAGAAGCUAUUUUUGCAGCAAGAAGACUGCAAGGCAGACAGCAAAAAGAACUUCAGAAUGGUUAUUUGCAGAAAGAAGACCCACCCUAAAUCUGCGUCACAUCUCCUGGUGGCGGCCUUCGCGAAAGGACAUGGGAGAAGGAUGCGUCGCUUCCUGUCUGCUGCCCCCACUCUCACUGCCAAGUUUGUGUAUCUUGUUGCUGUGGCUGGCGGGAAAUCCAAUUUCUUCAGGAUUUCAGUGCACACUGAAGACCAGAAGCUCUCCAGG